rnacentral:rRNA from 1 species
UGCCUACGGGGGGCAGCAGUGAGGAAUAUUGGUCAAUGGGCGGAAGCCUGAACCAGCCAAGUCGCGUGAGGGAUUAAGGCCCUAUGGGUCGUAAACCUCUUUUGUCAGGGAGCAAGGUCGUCCACGUGUGGGCGUAUGGAGAGUACCUGAAGAAAAAGCAUCGGCUAACUCCGUGCCAGCAGCCGCGGUAAUACGGAGGAUGCGAGCGUUAUCCGGAUUUACUGGGUGUAAAGGGAGCGCAGGCGGGAAGCCAAGUCAGCUGUGAAAACUACGGGCUUAACUUGUAGACUGCAGUUGAAACUGGU